UACGGAGGGGGGCUAGCGUUGUUCGGAAUUACUGGGCGUAAAGCGCACGUAGGCGGCUUUGCAAGUUAGAGGUGAAAGCCCCGGGGCUCAACUCCGGAAUUGCCUUUAAAAACUGCAUCGCUAGAAUUGUGGAGAGGUAAGUGGAAUUCCGAGUGUAGAGGUGAAAUUCGUAGAUAUUCGGAAGAACACCAGUGGCGAAGGCGACUUACUGGACACAUAUUGACGCUGAGGUGCGAAAGCGUGGGGGAGCAAACAGG
rnacentral:rRNA from 1 species